AACGAACGUUGGCGGCGUGGAUUAGGCAUGCAAGUCGAGCGAAUCCCGAGGUGCUUGCACCGAGGGGGAAGCGGCGAAAGGGGCAGUAAGGCAUGGGUAACCUACCCUCUGAUUCGGAAUAGCCAUUCUAACGAGUGGGUAAUGCCGAAUGACGUCCAGAGCCUUGUGGGGCACUGGACCAAAGGUCCGCCGUCGGAGGAGGGGCUCAUGUGGUAUUAGCUAGCUGGUGGGGUAACGGCCUACCAGGGCGAAGAUGCCUAGCUGGUGUGAGAGCAUGACCAGCGCCACUGGCACUGAGACACUGGCCAGACUCCUACGGGAGGCUGCAGUCGAGAAUCUUCGGCAAUGGGCGCAAGCCUGACCGAGCGACGCCGCGUGUGCGAUGAAGGCCUUCGGGUUGUAAAGCACUGUCAGAGGGGAGUAAAGCGUAAGCUUGAACUAUCCUCAGAGGAAGCACGGGCUAAGUUCGUGCCAGCAGCCGCGGUAAGACGAACCGUGCGAACGUUGUUCGGAAUCACUGGGCUUAAAGGGCGCGUAGGCGGGCAUGUAGGCCCAGGGUGAAAUCCUCCGGCUCAACCGGAGAACUGCCUUGGAAACC
rnacentral:rRNA from 1 species